rnacentral:rRNA from 1 species
GACGAACGCUGGCGGCGUGCUUAACACAUGCAAGUCGAACGGAAAGGCCCUGCCUUUGUGGGGUGCUCGAGUGGCGAACGGGUGAGUAACACGUGAGUAACCUGCCCUUGACUUUGGGAUAACUUCGGGAAACUGGGGCUAAUACCGGAUAGGAGCUCCUGCUGCAUGGUGGGGGUUGGAAAGUUUCGGCGGUUGGGGAUGGACUCGCGGCUUAUCAGCUUGUUGGUGGGGUAGUGGCUUACCAAGGCUUUGACGGGUAGCCGGCCUGAGAGGGUGACCGGCCACAUUGGGACUGAGAUACGGCCCAGACUCCUACGGGAGGCAGCAGUGGGGAAUAUUGCACAAUGGGCGGAAGCCUGAUGCAGCAACGCCGCGUGUGGGAUGACGGCCUUCGGGUUGUAAACCGCUUUCGCCUGGGAAGAAGCGUAAGUGACGGUAAUGGGUAAAGAAGCACCGGCUAACUACGUG